UACGUAGGGGGCAAGCGUUGUUCGGAAUUACUGGGCGUAUAGCGCGCGUAGGCGGAUUAGUCAGUCAGAGGUGAAAUCCCAGGGCUCAACCCUGGAACUGCCUUUGAUACUGCUAGUCUUGAGUUCGAGAGAGGUGAGUGGAAUUCCGAGUGUAGAGGUGAAAUUCGUCGAUAUUCGGAGGAACACCAGUGGCGAAGGCGGCUCACUGGCUCGAUACUGACGCUGCGGUGCGAAAGUGUGGGGAGCAAACAGG
rnacentral:misc_RNA from 1 species